rnacentral:rRNA from 1 species
AUUGAACGCUGGCGGCAUGCCUUACACAUGCAAGUCGAACGGCAGCACGGGGGGUAACCCCUGGUGGCGAGUGGCGAACGGGUGAGUAAUAUAUCGGAACGUGUCCUGUAGCGGGGGAUAACCUAUCGAAAGAUGGACUAAUACCGCAUACGACCUACGGGUGAAAGCGGAGGACCGCAAGGCUUCGCACUAUAGGAGCGGCCGAUAUCGGAUUAGCUAGUUGGGGGGGUAACGGCCCACCAAGGCGACGAUCCGUAGCUGGUCUGAGAGGCGAUCAGCCACAAUGGAACUGAGACAAGGUCCAGACUCCUACGGGAGGCAGCAGUGGGGAAUUUUGGACAAUGGGCGCAAGCCUGAUCCAGCCAUGCCGCGUGAGUGAAGAAGGCCUUCGGGUUGUAAAGCUCUUUCGGCGGGGACGAAACGGUUCGUGCUAAUACCACGGACUACUGACGGUACCCGCAGAAGAAGCACCGGCUAACUACGUG